rnacentral:rRNA from 1 species
AAACCAGCACCUCAAGUGGUCAGGAGGAUUAUUGGGCCUAAAGCAUCCGUAGCCUGUUCUGUAAGUUUCCGGUUAAAUCCAGUAGCUCAACUAAUGGGCCGCCGAAAAUACUGCAGAACUAGGGAGUGGGAGAGGUAGACGGUACUCGGUAGGAAGGGGUAAAAUCCUUUGAUCUAUUGAUGACCACCUGUGGCGAAGGCGGUCUACCAGAACACGUUCGACGGUGAGGGAUGAAAGCUGGGGGAGCAAACCGGAUUAGAAACCCGGGUAGUCC